rnacentral:lncRNA from 1 species
CCGCCCCCUGGCUGCUGUAGCUCCGCCCCUCUCUUGAUGACGCGUUUUUACGGGUGCGUGGGUUGGCCUGGGCGCAUGCGCAUUGUGAUGUAAAUAGUAGCAGUAGCAGGUAGCUAGCUGAGCUUAGCUUGUGGAUCUCUGCGGUGUAGAUAAGGAAUUCUCACCGUGUUUAAACUGAGAGAAGCUGCGGGAGGAGUUACAUUAACCCGAGUCUUUAGCGGGGAGAGAAUAUUCUGGGGGGUUUAGUUUAUUUAAUUAGCUUUAUUUUAUUAGCGUACUUAAAGAACUAGGGCUAGCUAGGGAGCGAGCAGGCUAGCUAGGCUACCUAUUUAGGCAGCUAGCCGGGCAGUGAACAGCUGACCGUUAGCUUAGCAUAGCUUAGCUUAUAUAGAGGAGCUGACUGGCUGGAGAGCUUUCUAUUCGGAUAGCUAGCUGGCUAACAACAUUAUCAGGCUUUAUCUGUGUUAAAUGGUUAGCUAUCUUAGCUAACCUAUAUUUUCUGUAAUUAAUUAUUUAGCUAUAGAAGCAUUAAGUACUAUAAUAAGUUUAGAAGGAGUAGAGUCUUCAGUUCUCGUUUGGAUGACUUGUAGUUAGUUAGUUCGCUUAGCUAGCUACUAGCUUUAGCUUACUGUUAGUCUGUUAGCUGUGGUUUGGGGUGUUUUUAAGUCUUUCUAUUCGUAUUAAACCCGUUUUAUAGCUAUAAUUAAGCCUCCAGCGAUGUUUUAAAACGUUAAAAACGUUUUAAAAGGUAACAAACUCCUGUAAUUAAUUGAAUUAACCUUCUGGACAGACCAAAGAACGUCGUUGUUGGAGAGCUAGCUAGCUAAGCUAGUUAACCUAACUACUUUACCUACAGUGCAGCUAUGCUGACUGAAAGCAGGAAACGUCAGCGUACUCAAGGCGAUGAUGAAGAUGCACAUCUAAUGCCUCAGUCCAAAAGAUCCAGCGCAACACACAAGUCCUCUGAGCCCAGCGUAGAGGUGUGGGAGUCUGAGGUAGGGGAAUCAUUCAGGACUGCAUUUAUAACAUUACACAUUUUGGAUCUGUGGUCAAAUUAUUACU